rnacentral:sRNA from 12 species
CUUGAAAACUUAAAAAGAUAGAACCUAUUGAUAAACGCCAACCAACAUUGGCGGUAGGAAAUUCUGAAUAGGCUACCGAUUCUACCGAAGGAUACUUUGGUCAUGGCGGUUGCUCUUAAAGGUAACGAUAAGAACAGGAGGUUGAGACCCAAAGCCUAAGGAAUUGUACUUUAUUUAUCGUAGUAUAGCACAGGAAGUGUGUCGGGGGAACAAUAGAAAGUUAAUCGAAAGAUUAGCCUCUCCAAGUUAGGUGGAAACAGGUGGUGCUGUCGCAGACCUUGGAAAUACCAAUAAUUCCCUUUGCGGUGAAGCCAAGAAAUUGGUGUAUAAGACAUGCAAGAAACCUCUGAGUAGCAGAAAGCGCAAAUAACAAGAUGAUGGAAGAUGAAAAUGGUCAGUAGUCUUUGAAUUUCUGAAAGUAACUGUGAAAGGUGCUGGGUAGACAUUCCCGUCAAGGCAAUACGGACUUUGGUCAGGGUAAGAAUGCAUAAGGGUAGCUGCUUAUGCACAGACUUAUUCUCCUUGUAGUGUAAUAAUAUUAAAGAUAAAUAAAGUAGGUUGAAGAACCCAAAUCUGUUUAAGUUUUUA